AUGUGAUCUUGUUGGAGGAAGUGUGUCACUGGGGGUAGGUUUUGAAGUUUCAAAAUCCAAGCCAGGCCAAGUGGUUCUCUUCCUACUGCCUGCAGAUCC
rnacentral:miRNA from 1 species